CUACGUGCCAGCAGCCGCGGUAAUACGUAGGGCGCGAGCGUUGUCCGGAAUUAUUGGGCGUAAAGAGCUUGUAGGCGGUUUGUCGCGUCUGCUGUGAAAGGCCGGGGCUUAACCCCGUGUAUUGCGGUGGGUACGGGCAGACUAGAGUGCAGUAGGGGAGACUGGAAUUCCUGGUGUAGCGGUGGAAUGCGCAGAUAUCAGGAGGAACACCGAUGGCGAAGGCAGGUCUCUGGGCUGUAACUGACGCUGAGAAGCGAAAGCAUGGGGAGCGAACAGGAUUAGAUACCCUGGUAGUCCAUGCCGUAAACGUUGGGCACUAGGUGUGGGGGACAUUCCACGUUUUCCGCGCCGUAGCUAACGCAUUAAGUGCCCCGCCUGGGGAGUACGGCCGCAAGGCUAAAACUCAAAGAAAUUGACGGGGGCCCGCACAAGCGGCGGAGCAUGCGGAUUAAUUCGAUGCAACGCGAAGAACCUUACCAAGGCU
rnacentral:rRNA from 1 species